GACCGCGUAGCUCAGUUGGCAGAGCAAUGGGCUAGUAUUCCAAAGGUAGUAGGUUCGAUUCCCACCGUGGCCG
rnacentral:tRNA from 1 species